rnacentral:tRNA from 1 species
GGGGAUGUAACUCAGUUGGUAGAGUGUUUGCCUACCACGCAUAAAGUCCUAGGUUUCAUUCCCA